CGUAGGGUGCAAGCGUUAAUCGGAAUUACUGGGCGUAAAGCGUGCGCAGGCGGUUAUGCAAGACAGAGGUGAAAUCCCCGGGCUCAACCUGGGAACUGCCUUUGUGACUGCAUGGCUAGAGUACGGUAGAGGGGGAUGGAAUUCCGCGUGUAGCAGUGAAAUGCGUAGAUAUGCGGAGGAACACCGAUGGUGAAGGCAAUCCCCUGGACCUGUACUGACGCUCAUGCACGAAAGCGUGGGGAGCAAACAGGAUUAGAUACCCUGGUAGUCCACGCCCUAAACGAUGUCAACUGGUUGUUGGGAGGGUUUCUUCUCAGUAACGUAGCUAACGCGUGAAGUUGACCGCCUGGGGAGUACGGCCGCAAGGUUG
rnacentral:rRNA from 1 species